rnacentral:rRNA from 1 species
GUGAGCCAUGUGCCGAGAAAAGCUGCUAUUGUGUAAUGCGUGCCCGUACCGUAAACCGACACAGGUGGAUGAGGAGAGAAUCCUAAGGCCGACGGAAGAAGCAUUGUUAAGGAAUUCGGCAAAAUGACCCCGUAACUUCGGGAGAAGGGGUGCCUGCGAGAGCAGGCCGCAGAGAAUAGGCUCAAGCAACUGUUUAGCAAAAACACAGGUCUAUGCGAAACCGAAAGGUGAAGUAUAUGGGCUGACGCCUGCCCGGUGCUGGAAGGUUAAGAGGAGAGGUUAGCGUAAGCGAAGCCUUGAAUUUAAGCCCCAGUAAACGGCGGCCGUAACAAUAACGGUCCUAAGGUAGCGAAAUUCCUUGUCGGGUAAGUUCCGACCCGCACGAAAGGCGUAAUGAUUUGAGCACUGUCUCGACAAUGCAUCCGGUGAAAUUGAAGUACCAGUGAAGAUGCUGGUUACCCGCGCCAGGACGGAAAGACCCCAUGGAGCUUUACUCCAGUUUGAUACUGGGAUUCGGUACUGCAUGUACAGGAUAGGUGGGAGACGAAGAAGGAUGGACGCCAGUCUGUCCGGAGUCGCUGUUGGGAUACCACCCCUGUAGUACUGGGUUUCUAACCAGUUGCCAUGAACUGGCAAUGGGACAAUGUCAGGCGGGGAGUUUGACUGGGGCGGUCGCCUCCGAAAGGGUAUCGGAGGCGCUCAAAGGUUCCCUCAGAAUGGUUGGAAACCAUUUGAAGAGUGCAAAGGCAGAAGGGAGCUUGACUGCGACACCGACGGGGGGAGCAGGUACGAAAGUAGGACUUAGUGAUCCGGUGGUAUAAAGUGGGAUUGCCAUCGCUCAACGGAUAAAAGCUACCCUGGGAUAACAGGCUUAUCACUCCCAAGAGUUCACAUCGACGGAGUGGUUUGGCACCUCGAUGUCGGCUCAUCGCAUCCUGGGGCUGUAGCAGGUCCCAAGGGUUGGGCUGUUCGCCCAUUAAAGCGGUACGCGAGCCGGGUUCAGAACGUCGUGAGACAGUUCGGUCCCUAUCCGGCGCGGGCGGAGGAUAUUUGAGAGGAGCUGUCCUUAGUACGAGAGGACCGGGAUGGACGGACCACUGGUGUAUCUGUUGUCGACCAACGGCAUGGCAGAGUAGCCAAGUCUGGAAGGGAUAAACGCUGAAGGCAUCUAAGCGUGAAGCCCCCCUCAAGAUGAGAUAUCCCUCCUUCGGGAGUAAGACCCCUUGAAGACUACAAGGUAGAUAGGGCAGAGGUGGAAGCAUGGCAACAUGUGGAGCUGACUGUUACUAAUAGGUCGAGGGCUUAAU